rnacentral:tRNA from 1 species
GGAGAGGUGGCAGAGUCCGGUUGAUCGCGCACGACUCGAAAUCGUGUAUACCUUCGGGUAUCGGGGGUUCGAAUCCCCCCCUCUCCGCCA